UAACCUCAGAAAGCCCCCCAGAGCCUGCUUCAAGGUGUUAUCAUUUACUGAUAAAGACCCUCCGUGCUAGUAAGGGGCAGACCCAAGAUGUGGCCCCAGUUCGGACUGAUCCGGGAGCUCCAUGCCAGUCGGCAUCCCCCUUCUCCCACUCUCCAUCCAUCAUCUGUCCUGGGGACUUUCAAGCCUUCUGUCGGUAACCCACAGCAAGAAACCGGUCUCACGCCACCCACGUCCAAUCCACAAAUACUAAUAGCCAAAACCAAAAUCUCACUUGGGCGUUUUUCAUUCCAGACUUCUAUGCGAGUUCAGAGUUUCAUGCUAGUGGUUGCUGGCGGCACCCAACUAAACUGAUGUGGUAUCUCACAAAUGGGGUGUGACUCCCAGUUCAAAAAACACACACAUAGGUAUGCAUCCAAAUAACACUCAGAAAGAGGGGGACGAAAAAGAAGGAUUGUUGGCAUUUUACACAUUUUGCAGAUCAUCUAAAAAUCCAUUUGUGGAUGUGAAUUUUUCCUCCCAUUUAAUUGCAAUUUCUGACUCUUUUUUCUUUUUUUUUUUUUUUUUUGGAGUCUCACUCUGUCACCCAGGCUGGAGUGCAAUGGCGCAAUCUUAGCUCACUGCAACCUUCGCCUCCCGGGUUGAAGCAAUUCUCCUACCUCAGCCUCCUGAGUAGCUGGGACUACAGGCACGUGCCACCACGCCUGGCUAAUUUUUUAUAUUUUUAGUAGAGACGGGGUUUCACCACGUUGGCCAGACUGCUCUCGAACUCCUGACCUCAGGUGAUCCGCCCGCCUCGGCCUCCCAAAGUGCUGGGAUUGCAGGCGUGAGCCACUGCACCCAGCCACAAUUUAUGACUUCUUGAUCUGUGAAUAGAGUCAUUCCCUUGUCAAAUCCUCUUUCUCUUAUUAAAACCUCAGAAGUCCUAUAAGGCUAGCUCAAGCUCAACCACAAAAAUCAUCUCCCACCCAGCCCUCACAGACAGAAGUUUCACACCAUGAGACUCACCUUUGCAGAAAUCUCAGGGCAUCUCCCAACCCUGGGAUGUUAGUGAGUUCAGUUUCUGGACCACUUGGCUAAUGGAAGGAAUGACAGUGAGGACAAGGGAGACUGCGCAGUUCCUGUGUUCUCUGGACCAAUAACAAAAGUCACCUUUCCCUGCAUGUCGAGAAGUCUGAGAUACAUCACGAUUUUCCACUCAUUCACUGGUAUUAGACACCAUUCUAAAGGAGGCUCAUUCUAACUCUGAAAACACCAGCGUUAGAGACCACACAAAGCUCCCCUGAGGACAGCCAGGAGACCUGUUAUGAGCCUAGAUUUAAGCCAUGUGGAUUAGGAGUCAACAAUUCCUGGUUUCAUUCACAGCCAUGCGGAUCUACACCAGCAAAACCAGAGAAAGUCCAUGAUAAUCUGAAUAAUUCAGACCUCGUUUCCUGUUUCCUUCCUCUGCCUCCAUCGCAAGAAAUGAAAACAAGAAGCCUAUGUCCACUAGAUUAUUUAUCCACCUUCUGCACAUCUGACAUAGAGCUCUGGUCGCAAUGUUGGUGCAGUGGGGGCGACUGGUGUUCCAGGCUGUCACCUCCCAUCAGUUCACACCCCUUUCUCCAUCUUUGAAAUGCGCCAGCUGCUACUCCCUUACCAUCUAAGUCUUUAGGCAGCUAAGUCAUCUCUGACGAUGUCUUAGCUCCUCCACCAAUACCACCCAGCAAACCGAGUCAGUUUACUUUGCUGGAAACUGACCAGAGAGCCUACCAGGGUCAACGUGGGAAGAAAAGGCCCCAGAACAGUGCACGAAGACGACGGCCUGACACCCCAGUCCACCUUCUAGACCAUGCUGUUCCCAGCAAUCCCAAGCAAAUGGCGGCGGCAGGCAGGAGGCAGAAGGGAGUUCAACCUUCACUUACCUGGGGGGCAGACACAUUCGGAUGGGGCUUCCCGAGCAGUCCGCAGCUUCACUAGUCCGUCCAACUUCUGAGUCGGAAAAAAAAAAAGAAAAAAAAAA
ensembl:lncRNA